CUUCCGCCAGCGACCGGCGCACGGGUGAGUAACACGUAUGCAACCUGCCCCUGUCAGGGGGACAACCCGCCGAAAGGCGGGCUAAACCCGCGUACAUGCCACCGGGGCAUCCCGGAGGCAGGAAAGGCUUCGGCCGGACAGGGAUGGGCAUGCGGCGCAUUAGGCAGUAGGCGGGGUAACGGCCCACCUAACCGACGAUGCGUAGGGGUUCUGAGAGGAAGGUCCCCCACACUGGUACUGAGACACGGACCAGACUCCUACGGAAGGCAGCAG
rnacentral:rRNA from 1 species